ACGAUGUCAACUAGUUGUUGGGGAUUCAUUUCCUUAGUAACGUAGCUAACGCGUGAAGUUGACCGCCUGGGGAGUACGGUCGCAAGAUUAAAACUCAAAGGAAUUGACGGGGACCCGCACAAGCGGUGGAUGAUGUGGAUUAAUUCGAUGCAACGCGAAAAACCUUACCUACCCUUGACAUGCCACUAACGAAGCAGAGAUGCAUUAGGUGCUCGAAAGAGAAAGUGGACACAGGUGCUGCAUGGCUGUCGUCAGCUCGUGUCGUGAGAUGUUGGGUUAAGUCCCGCAACGAGCGCAACCCUUGUCUCUAGUUGCUACGAAAGGGCACUCUAGAGAGACUGCCGGUGACAAACCGGAGGAAGGUGGGGAUGACGUCAAGUCCUCAUGGCCCUUAUGGGUAGGGCUUCACACGUCAUACAAUGGUGCAUACAGAGGGUUGCCAAGCCGCGAGGUGGAGCUAAUCCCAGAAAAUGCAUCGUAGUCCGGAUCGUAGUCUGCAACUCGACUACGUGAAGCUGGAAUCGCUAGUAAUCGCGGAUCAGCAUGCCGCGAUGAAUACGUUCCCGGGUCUUGUACACACCGCCCGUCACACCAUGGGAGUGGGCUUUACCAGAAGUAGUUAGCCUAACCGCAAGGAGGGCGAUUACCACGGUAGGGUUCAUGACUGGGGUGAAGUCGUAACAAGGUAACCA
rnacentral:rRNA from 1 species